GUUUUCAUAGUUUAAAAUCCAAAACAUUGGUCUUGUAAACCAAUAAUGAAUAGAUUUCUGUAAACU
rnacentral:tRNA from 1 species